GGCAGUCGUUUUGGAACUCCACAUGUUGGACAAGGUUCAAGUCCUUGGACUGCC
rnacentral:sRNA from 1 species